rfam:Rousettus bat coronavirus isolate GCCDC1 356, complete genome
GAGUCCGGGGUGCUAGUGGAGUAGCCCGCCUAGUACCCCAAGGCAUAGGUGUUCAGCCUGAUGUCGUUUUAAGGGCUUUUG